CUUGUGUGCGCUGCGGGAUGUGCGCUGUGGUGGUGGAGGGGGUCCUUGUGAGGAGAGCAAGGCCCCGUGAGGGGAGCAGGGCCCGUGUGGAGCUCUUCAUGCCUUCACUGCUGCUCCUGCGGCCUGCCCGCAUUGCUUCCUCUGUGGAAGUGAGGUGGAGUGUCUGUGGUGGUGGAGGCGUACUCAGGGCCUGCAGUUUUCCAAGACAGGGUAGAGCGUGGAAUGGGAACGAUGUCUGCCAAACUUACAGCUUUUAAGCUUAAAAGAUUUAAACGAAGAUUGGAAAGGAUCUCAAUGCACUGAGUACAAGAGGGGGAAACAAAGAUGGAGGGAGAAUACAGGAGUCACUGCAUCUGCUAACAUAUGGUUUGUGUUUGUGUUGAGCUUUAAGCUAUGAAGGAACAGACUUACCAG
rnacentral:lncRNA from 1 species